UCGGAUUGAAGGCUGAAAUUCGCCUUCAUGAAGCCGGAAUUGCUAGUAAUGGCAGGUCAGCAUACUGCCGUGAAUACGUUCCCGGGCCUUGUACACACCGCCCGUCACACCAUGAGAGUUGGGAAUACCCGAAGCCUGUGAGCUAACUAUACGAGGCAGCAGUCGAAGGUAGAAUCAAUGAUUGGGGUGAAGUCGUAACAAGGUACC
rnacentral:rRNA from 1 species